CCUACGGGUGGCAGCAGUGGGGAAUAUUGCACAAUGGGCGCAAGCCUGAUGCAGCCAUGCCGCGUGUGUGAAGAAGGCCUUCGGGUUGUAAAGCACUUUCAGCGGGGAGGAAGGCGUUAAGGUUAAUAACCUUGGCGAUUGACGUUACCCGCAGAAGAAGCACCGGCUAACUCCGUGCCAGCAGCCGCGGUAAUACGGAGGGUGCAAGCGUUAAUCGGAAUUACUGGGCGUAAAGCGCACGCAGGCGGUCUGUCAAGUCGGAUGUGAAAUCCCCGGGCUCAACCUGGGAACUGCAUUCGAAACUGGCAGGCUAGAGUCUUGUAGAGGGGGGUAGAAUGCCAGGUGUAGCGGUGAAAUGCGUAGAGAUCUGGAGGAAUACCGGUGGCGAAGGCGGCCCCCUGGACAAAGACUGACGCUCAGGUGCGAAAGCGUGGGGAGCAAACAGGAUUAGAUACCCCUGUAGUC
rnacentral:rRNA from 1 species